GUGGAUGCCUUGGCGAUUACAGGCGACGAAAGACGUGAUAGCCUGCGAUAAGCUUCGGGGAGCUGGCAAAUUAGCUUUGAUCCNGAGAUUUCCGAAU
rnacentral:rRNA from 1 species